AUGGAGGAAGCCGGCGGGCAGCUGGAGGUGGUGAUGUUCCCGUGGCUGGCGUUCGGGCACAUGCUCCCAUUCCUCGACCUCUCCAGGCGCCUCGCCGCCCGCGGCCACACCGUCGCCUUCGUCUCCACGCCGCGGAACCUCGCCAGGCUCCCACCCGCGCCGCCGCACCUGUCAGGUCGCCUCCGCUUCGUGCAGCUGCCGCUGCCGCGCGUCGACGGGCUGCCGGAGGGCGCCGAGUCCACCGCCGACGUGCCGCCCGGGGAGGACGGGCUCCUUAAGAUGGCCAUGGACGGGCUCGCGGCCCCUCUCGCCGCGUUCCUCGCGGACGCCGUCGCCGCUGGCCGGAGGCGUUUGGCCGGACUCCUGGACUAUGAAGAUACAAGAUUGAACACUUCGUCCCGUGUACGGAAGGGACUUUCCUUGGUGUGGAAGGCAAGCUUGGCGAAAUGGAUAUGUAGAUCUCUUACCAUUGUAACCGACUCUGUGUAA
rnacentral:rRNA from 1 species